rnacentral:rRNA from 1 species
GGGAUUAGAUACCCCACUAUGCUUAGCCUUAAACCUAGAUGCUAAAUUUACAAGCAACAUCCGCCAGGGUACUACAAGCGCUAGCUUAAAACCCAAAGGACUUGACGGUGUCUCAGACCCGCCUAGAGGAGCCUGUUCUAGAACCGAUAAUCCCCGUUAAACCUCACCACCCCUUGUUUUCUCCGCCUAUAUACCGCCGUCGCAAGCUUACCCUGUGAAGGUCUAAUAGUAAGCAAAAUGGGUAUAUCCCAAAACGUCAGGUCGAGGUGUAGCUUACGAGGUGGGAAGAAAUGGGCUACAUUUUCUAUAUUAGAAUAAUACGAACAGCACCAUGAAAUUGAUGCUCGAAGGUGGAUUUAGUAGUAAAAAACAAAUAGAGAGUCUUUUUGAACCAGGCUCUGAGACGCGUACACACCGCCC